rnacentral:rRNA from 1 species
ACCUGGUCUUGACAUCCCGGAGACCCUUAGGAAACUAGGGGUGCUUCCAUCUGGAAGAAUCUGGAGACAGGUGCUGCAUGGCUGUCGUCAGCUCGUGUCGUGAGAUGUUGGGUUAAGUCCCGCAACGAGCGCAACCCUUGCCUUUAGUUGCCAGCAGUUCGGCUGGGCACUCUAAAGGGACUGCCGGUGUUAAACCGGAGGAAGGUGGGGAUGACGUCAAGUCCUCAUGGCCUUUAUGACCAGGGCUACACACGUACUACAAUGGCCGAUACAAAGGGCAGCGACACUGCGAGGUGAAGCCAAUCCCGUAAAAUCGGUCUCAGUCCGGAUUGGAGUCUGCAACUCGACUCCAUGAAGUUGGAAUCGCUAGUAAUCGUGGAUCAGCAUGCCACGGUGAAUACGUUCCCGGGCCUU